AGUGAACGCUGGCGGUAGGCCUAACACAUGCAAGUCGAACGGCAGCACAGUAAGAGCUUGCUCUUACGGGUGGCGAGUGGCGGACGGGUGAGGAAUACAUCGGAAUCUACUUUUUCGUGGGGGAUAACGUAGGGAACCUUACGCUAAUACCGCAUACGACCUACGGGUGAAAGCAGGGGAUCUUCGGACCUUGCGCGAUUGAAUGAGCCGAUGUCGGAUUAGCUAGUUGGCGGGGUAAAGGCCCACCAAGGCGACGAUCCGUAGCUGGUCUGAGAGGAUGAACAGCCACACUGGGACUGAGACACGGUCCAGACUCCUACGGGAGGCAGCAGUGGGGAAUAUUGGACAAUGGGCGCAAGCCUGAUCCAGCCAUACCGCGUGGGUGAAGAAGGCCUUCGGGUUGUAAAGCCCUUUUGUUGGGAAAGAAAAGCAGCAGGUUAAUACCCCGCUGUUCUGACGGUACCCAAAGAAUAAGCACCGGCUAACUUCGUG
rnacentral:rRNA from 1 species